rnacentral:rRNA from 1 species
CCAGACUCCUACGGGAGGCAGCAGUAGGGAAUUUUCGUCAAUGGGCGCAAGCCUGAACGAGCGAUGCCGCGUGAGUGAAGAAGGCCUUCGGGUCGUAAAGCUCUGUUGCGGGGGAAAAAAGGCAGCAUCAGGAAAUGGGUGCUGACUGAUGGUGCCCCGCCAGAAAGUCACGGCUAACUACGUGCCAGCAGCCGCGGUAAUACGGGGGAUGCAAGCGUUGUCCGGAAUCAUUGGGCGUAAAGAGUUCGUAGGUGGCACGUUAAGUCUGGUGUUAAAUGCAGAGGCUCAACCUCUGUUCGGCACUGGAUACUGGCGAGCUUGAAUGCGGUAGAGGUAAAGGGAAUUCCUGGUGUAGCGGUGAAAUGCGUAGAUAUCAGGAGGAACAUCGGUGGCGUAAGCGCUUUACUGGGCCGUAAUUGACACUGAGGAACGAAAGCCAGGGUAGCAAAUGGGAUUAGAUACCCCAGUA